rnacentral:misc_RNA from 1 species
AACGCACAUUGCGCCCGCUAGUAUUCUGGCGGGCAUGCCUGUUCGAGCGUCAUUUCAACCAUCAAGCCCUAGGCUUGUGUUGGGGCCCUGCGGCCGUCCGCAGCCCCCUAAAAACAGUGGCGGGCUCGCUAUAUACCGAGUGCAGUAGUUUACUCUUCGCUCAGGACAUGUAGUGGGUUCUUGCCGUAAAACCCCCCAUUUUCUAAGGUUGACCUCGGAUCAGGUAGGAAUACCCGCUGAACUUAA